AUUGAACGCUGGCGGUAGGCCUAACACAUGCAAGUCGAACGCGAAAGUCCUUCGGGAUGAGUAGAGUGGCGGACGGGUGAGUAACGCGUAGGAAUCUAUCCUGUAGUGGGGGAGUAACGUUUCGAAAGGAACGCUAAUACCGCAUACGCCCCACCGGGGAAAGCGGGGGAGUCUUCGGACCUCGUGCUAUAGGAGGAGCCUGCGUCGGAUUAGCUAGUUGGUGAGGUAAAGGCUCACCAAGGCGACGAUCCGUAGCUGGUCUGAGAGGAUGAUCAGCCACACCGGAACUGAGACACGGUCCGGACUCCUACGGGAGGCAGCAGUGGGGAAUAUUGCGCAAUGGGCGAAAGCCUGACGCAGCCAUACCGCGUGUGUGAAGAAGGCCUCGGUUG
rnacentral:rRNA from 1 species